UUUCUUAUAGUGUAACAAUCACACAAUAUCUUCAUUAUUGUAAUGCUAAACAAGCUAAGAAUA
rnacentral:tRNA from 1 species